rnacentral:rRNA from 1 species
CUACGGGACGCUCCAGUGAGGAAUAUUGGUCAAUGGGCGCAAGCCUGAACCAGCCAAGUAGCGUGAAGGAUGACUGCCCUCUGGGUUGUAAACUUCUUUUAUAGGGGAAUAAAGUGCGCCACGUGUGGCGUUUUGUAUGUACCCUACGAAUAAGGACCGGCUAACUCCGUGCCAGCAGCCGCGGUAAUACGGAGGGUCCGAGCGUUAUCCGGAUUUAUUGGGUUUAAAGGGUGCGCAGGCGGGAUGAUAAGUCAGUUGUGAAAGUUGGACGCUCAACGUUCAAAUUGCAAUUGAAACUGUCAUUCUUGAGUGCAGUGGAGGUAAGUGGAAUUCGUGGUGUAGCGGUGAAAUGCUUAGAUAUCACGAAGAACUCCGAUUGCGAAGGCAACUUGCUAUACUGCAACUGACGCUCAUGCACGAAGGUGUGGGUAUCAAACAGGAUUAGAUACCCGGGUAGUC